GAAAGUAAAAAAGGGCGCAUGGCGGAUGCCUUGGCUCUCGGAGGCGAUGAAGGACGUGAUAAGCUGCGAUAAGCUUUGGGGAGGUGCAAAUGACCUUUGAUCCAGAGAUUUCCGAAUGGGACAACCCAAUAUCUUGAAGAGGUAUUAUCCAACGUUGUUGGAGGCUAACGCAGGGAACUGAAACAUCUUAGUACCUGCAGGAAAAGAAAAUAAACAAUGAUUCCCUCAGUAGUGGCGAGCGAACGGGGAACAGCCCAAACCAUCCAUGUUACGGCAUGGGUGGGGUUGUAGGACUACGCCGUUGCAUGAAGACAUCAGAGAAGAACUUUCUGGAAAGAAAGACCAUAGAGCAUGACAGUUGCGUAUUCGAAUGUUGUCGAAGCAUAGUAGUAUCCUGAGUAGCGCGGAGCACGAGGAAUUCUGCGUGAAUCUGCCGGGACCAUCCGGUAAGGCUAAAUACUCCCGAGAGACCGAUAGUGAACCAGUACCGUGAGGGAAAGGUGAAAAGCACUUCGAACAGAAGAGUGAAAUAGUUCCUGAAACCGUGCGCCUACAAGCGGUCGGAGCUCGUUAAUGAGUGACGGCGUGCCUUUUGCAUAAUGAACCUACGAGUUGCCUUUGCCGGCAAGGUUAAGUGUGACGACACACGUAUCCGAAGCGAAAGCGAGUCUGAACAGGGCGUAUAGUCGGCAGUGGCAGACGCGAAACCAAGUGAUCUACCCUUGGCCAGGUUGAAGGCUGGGUAACACCAGCUGGAGGACCGCACCAAUAAGCGUUGAAAAGCUUCUGGAUGAGCUGAGGGUAGGGGUGAAAGGCUAAUCAAACUUGGAGAUAGCUCGUACUCCCCGAAAUGCAUUUAGGUGCAGCCUUGCGGGUUACUGAUGUGAGGUAGAGCGACUGAUAAGAUGCGAGGGCUUCACCGCCUAUCAAGUCUUGACAAACUCCGAAUGCGCAUCAGUUCUACCGCAGGAGUGAGGGCAUGGGUGCUAAGGUCCGUGCCCGAGAGGAGAAGAAUCCGGACCACCUGCUAAGGUCCCGAAAUGACAGCUAAGUUAAACUAACGAAGUCUGACUGCUAAGACAGCUAGGAUGUUGGCUUGGAAGCAGCCAUUCAUUUAAAGAGUGCGUAACAGCUCACUAGUCGAGGAGUCGGGCGUGGAUAAUAAUCGGGUAUGAAGUUGUCUACCGAAGCAGUGGGAUCAUUUAUAUGAUCGGUAGGGGAGCAUUCCAGUCGGCGUCGAAGGCGUACCGUGAGGUAUUCUGGAGCGUCUGGAAAAGCAAAUGUAGGUAUAAGUAACGAUAAAGGGGGCGGGAAACCCCCUCGCCGAAAGACUAAGGUUUCCUGAUCAACGCUAAUCGGAUCAGGGUCAGUCGGGUCCUAAGGCUCAGCCGAACGGCGAUGCCGAUGGCAGAAACGGUUAAUAUUCCGUUACUACCUUCAGGAGUGACGUGGAGACGCAGUAGUGACAGUGCCGCCAUCUGACGGAAUAGAUGGUUGAAGGGUGUAGGAGUCGAUCAUGGCAGGCAAAUCCACCAUGAGAUCCGAACCUGAUAGUAUGCCGCGUCCUUCGGGACAAGGCAAUAGUGCGCGUAAGCAUGCUGCCGAGAAAAUCCGCUAAACUUAAUCCUGCAGGUACCCGUACCGCAAACGGACACACGUAGUCGGGAUGAAUAUUCUAAGGCGCUUGAGUGAUUCACGGUUAAGGAACUAGGCAAACUGACCCUGUAACUUCGGGAUAAAGGGUCCCUACCCUUUUAUGGGAGGGCGCAGAGAAUCGGUCCAGGCAACUGUUUAACAAAAACACAGGGCUGUGCCAAAUCGAAAGAUCCAGUAUACAGCCUGACACCUGCCCGGUGCUGGAAGGUUAAGAGGAGAUGUCAUCGAUAAGAGAAGCGUUGAAUUGAAGCCCCAGUAAACGGCGGCCGUAACUAUAACGGUCCUAAGGUAGCGAAAUUCCUUGUCGGGUAAGUUCCGACCUGCACGAAUGGUGUAAUGAUCUGGACGCUGUCUCAACCGUGAGCUCAGUGAAAUUGUAGUAUCGGUGAAGAUGCCGAUUACCCGCGAUGGGACGAAAAGACCCCGUGAACCUUUACUAUAGCUUAUCAUUGAAUCUGGGCACGUGAUGUGUAGGAUAGGUCGGAGGCUUUGAAGCAGGUACGCCAGUAUUUGUGGAGCCGCUGUUGAAAUACGACCCUUUAUUUGUUUGGAUUCUAACCCGUGGA
rnacentral:rRNA from 1 species